rnacentral:rRNA from 1 species
UUUAUGGAGAGUUUGAUCCUGGCUCAGGAUGAACGCUGGCGGCGUGCCUAAUACAUGCAAGUCGAGCGAACGGACGAGAAGCUUGCUUCUCUGAUGUUAGCGGCGGACGGGUGAGUAACACGUGGAUAACCUACCUAUAAGACUGGGAUAACUUCGGGAAACCGGAGCUAAUACCGGAUAAUAUUUUGAACCGCAUGGUUCAAAAGUGAAAGACGGUCUUGCUGUCACUUAUAGAUGGAUCCGCGCUGCAUUAGCUAGUUGGUAAGGUAACGGCUUACCAAGGCAACGAUGCAUAGCCGACCUGAGAGGGUGAUCGGCCACACUGGAACUGAGACACGGUCCAGACUCCUACGGGAGGCAGCAGUAGGGAAUCUUCCGCAAUGGGCGAAAGCCUGAC